UUCUCCAAAUCAUAUCAGUUGCAGUUUCCAGACUAUUCGCUGGACAUUAAACAACUCAAUAAAGCUUGGAAAAGAGUUGAUCAUCUGUGGUCAUAGUAAUCAGUGAGUGCAGCCACCUUCUCUUCUCAUAAGUCUAUAAAAAAUGAUUUUUAUCCAUUGGUAGUGUGAUUGAGCCAUGCACUGAAGCAAAGGUAGAGCUUGAGCAGUAGCUUUCUCCAUAUGAAGAGGAUGCAACUUAAUAAGUCUUAAAUUAUUCAAUUUUCCAUCAUCCUUUUUUAGUGUCAAGUAAAAGCUUGUUAUUUAUUUCUUUGUUUGUUGAAAAAUUCCCUGAAGAAUUUAUUCAUUUUACUCUUGCGACAGUUUCUGGAAUACUUUGAAAAAUGAUCAUUACAUUCACUUCAAAGUUAGAAUGAUUGAACCAUGUGCUCAAACAAAUCCCAAAGGCACUGUGCCUUGGUCAACAUUUUUCCUUUUAUGAAAUUGACAUAGUUUGUAUAAAAGGCAUGUAUGAAAUGGACAUAUCUUAAUUAUUCAAUUGUCAGAACUAUUAUUAACUAAAGGCGGCUUUCUUCAAAGCAAGAUGCAUUUUUUUUAGUAGUCUAACCAUUGCAGUUUGCACUCUAACCAGUAUUUAAAAUUCAUUGUUCUUUGAGAUUAGUGUCUGAAUGAUUUCUCAAACAAUGGAGUAGCUCAGUUCACUAGUCUCAGAAGAUUGAAUAACAACUUUUGCAUCAAAGUAGCAAACAGAUUAGUGUCUGAAUGAUUUCUCAAACAAUGGAGUAGCUCGUCAUUACUCUCAGAAGAUUGGAAAACAACUUCUUUGCAUCAAAGUAGCAAACAGGUCCAUCUUCCUGGACGAUUACACUUCAACCAGAUGGAACAGCUAGAAAAAAGAUGGGUUGCUGAAGACAUUCUCCAUAUCAUAUCAAUUGGUGAGUACAGUUUGUAUUGUCUUUAGUUAGUAACAGCAUGUUUACAUUAUAGAAUAUCUACAUAAUCAUCAGCAUAUCCUGGAUAUAACUUGGUGCACUGCGCUUCUAGAACCACCCUGUGAGAGUUAUAUUUGGCUGUAACCAAGGCUUCUGUUAUUUAAAAACAUGUGUUGUCAAUUGAAACUACAAAAAUGUUUCACAAUAUGUAACUGGCUUGUGUCACUGAUAUGUUUCAUUGUAAGAUGUUCCUAGGAUGGGAGUCCAAUCAACAGAAAUUACAAUUAUUCAGUCUUUUCGUCAUGUCAAGAUGGCUCUUUUUUUGCUUUUCCAGGCUCACUUGUUUAUUUCAAAUGCAAUGGCUAUAAAACUUGAGGAAUGAGGAGAAUUAUUUUAGUUUAAAUUAUGAGCUUAUUUACGCUGCAGUUUUUUUAACAAGUCAUGUGCCCAGUGAAGAUUUGGAUGUUAUAUAGUUGUCACAAAUUAUCAUUAGUAUCAUUAGAGAAGAAGUGCAGAGGUAGAUCAUCUUUAUGUACAUGUAACCCUGAAAUUCUUUUUACUUGAAGUUUCAUGUACCUGAUGCUCCCUUAGAAAUGAAAGUAAGGCAUCAACCAAAAUUUCUGGGAGAAGGUUGCUAGGCAAUUUUUUCAAUUUUAUAUGCAGUUUUUCAAUUUUACAUUGUACCAAA